UUACUCUGGUUUCUCUUCAUAACGUACAAGUCUUUCGCCUUUUGACUAAAGACUUCCGUGGGAGAGUGACUCCAACGAGUUUAUUCCUAUUUUUGGCAGGGCUUUGCCGUCUGGCAGAG